CGCCCCGGCGCCCGCCGAGCCUGCGCGGGGACCGCCAUCUUUGUUGAAGGCAAGAGGGCUUCGCCGGAAGCCGCCGCGGGCCGGCCGAGGAAAGGCCGCCGCUGCCGGCGCCGCUGAGGGCGGGCCGGGAGGCCGCCAUGUCAGCUGUGGGCAGCGGUGGGCCGGCCGGCCGGGAGACACGGCCGCCUCCCCGCCGGGAAGCAAUGCAGCCAUUCAAAGAUAUUGCCACCGUUGCAGCUUAAGUUCCUAUCAAUGUUCCUGGAGAGUUAGUGGCUCCAACUCUGGAAGAAAAAACAAACAAACAAACAAACCAAAACACAGGUGAAAUCUUUUUUUUUUUUUUUAAAAUAAAAUAAAAUCCACAAUUUUUCAGGGAGAUUAAACACCAUAGUUAUGGUGAUAUGUUUUUACUUUUCCCUAGACUUUCUCAGAGGCACUGGCUACUUCAAAGUCCUGGAGAUAACCUGAUUAACAAACACAGUUCAUUCCUCCCCUCCUUGACAACCUUGGGACCAGGACAGACUGAUUUUGCUGUAAGCUUAAUUUUUCUCCUAAAGUUCAGUUUUCUAGCCAGGUUUUGUUUAUAUGUGUUUUCAAACUGUGCUGAUACUAGUUACCCCCCUGGACCUCUCAGCACAGUGCCAGUCCUGAUGGUCAGUUAUUUGACACACCGUGUGAGAAGUGCCACCUCUCACAGGAGCUGCUGGCUUUUCCAUGUUCUUUCCCUUCCAUUCCUUUUCAGCCACCAAAUAAUGACCAGCGAUGUCUGGCAACGAUGCCCUUCACAGCCCCUGGCACCAAGAACUCUGCCUCCCAGUUACAUGGACUGAUUUGUAGAAAUGACCCAAUUUCAUCAGUGUCGUGGGGAACCUCCAUGUUGUUGUAAAGAGAGCUCAGACCUUGGUGAUCUGAAGUGAUGUGUCGGUGGUAUGUUGUUUCCAGGCAUUUUCAGUCAUGCUAAGGGCUUAGCAAAAUAGUGAGACCUGCUGAAGGGAACACUAAUAAAGGAGUGGUUUUCAGGAGCUAGGCUGAGAUACCAGAGUAGCUUGUCAUCCCUGUUUCCGUGGUGUAUACAGCGCUAACCAGCUCAGACCUUUCAAGUAAUUUCUAGUUAUUCUAUUUGGAAAUUUUAUGGCUUACAUACUAAAUGUUUCCCUUAUUUCUACAGUUUUUUAAAAAUAAAAAUUCUCCUUUCAAUGGAAAAGUUUCUUGUAAUUAUUGAGAACCAGUAAUACAACUGUUAGAAUCCCUCAAGCCAUUACUUCCUCUAGCAGUCAACAUGAUACUUAGAUUUAUUUUAAUGACAGCAGAGUCAGCAGAAGUUUUAUUUUACUUUAUUUUAAAUGGCUGUUAGACAUGACACCCACAUCUAAAGGUAUCUCUUCCCAUUUCCAUCAUGUGUUUUGGCUUUAAAAGAUCAAAGCUCUGACACCUCUCAACUUACUUUCUGCUAGAUCCUAAGCUUAUAGCCAAAGGAAAAAUCCAUAGGAAUUUUAUCAGGAAUACAGGGGAAAGUUCUUGAAUAGCACAUGUAAGUAAAUAAAGCUUUUCUAUGAUCUUUAACAAGCUAAUUUACCUGCAGAAACACUUUGCUAAGACACAAGAGGUGGCUAAGGCAGAGGAAUUUAUGCAACCACAGAACCCUGUCCUUCCUAUUGUAUGUAGAUCCUGUUCUCUUCUAAUGCUCCAUAGAUUUAAGCGAGGAAUAAGUCUGGGAUUGUUUUAAGAUAUAAAAAUAAAUCCCUCUCUCCCCAUAUUCUAGUGAACAAUUUUUUCUUCUUGCUAAUAAUUAUGUAUUGUUUAUCUAGAAUGUGGUUACAUAAAAUAUAAUUAGGACAACACCGAGGACAUCAGAUUAAAAUAAAAUUAAUUACAAUGCAAUGGGUGCAGCUGCUUGGUUACAUUCCCACUCUACCCACCCAUCUUGUACUUGGACAAUUUUCUGUCUCUGGUGAUAGUACAAACAGCAGAGAAAUACAACUAAAUACAACUAAAAUGGAGCCACAGUUCACACUUCUGCUAGGCUUAGUGCUCAACAAAGUACAGUAACCAAUUCCACCUUCAUCAUUCAUCUUGCAAUUAUUUUUUUUAUUAUUUUAUUCAAGCAUCACUUUUAGGAUUGUGGGAUUCUCAGCUUCCUUUAAUUAAAGUGAAGAGGUUUUCAGCAACUAACAUUAUAAACUGGAAAAUCUGAAACCUCAAGCCUCAAAAAUGAAAACCCAAACCAAAACAUGGGAUGAAACAAAAGGCUUAGGAUUAAAAUCCUUAUCAUGAUUUUUGGUUGACUCAUGGGCAUUGAACCUGUGAAACUGGCUUUGCCGAAUGCUCUGUACUAGCAAUUCAAGAUGA